rnacentral:rRNA from 1 species
GUCGAACGGAAGUCGUUAUAAAAAGGAUUGAAGAUUUAUCUGAUUGAGAUUUUAUAACAAUGGCUUUAGUGGCGGACUGGUGAGUAACGCGUGAGCAACCUGCCUACUAGAGGGGAAUAACAGUGAGAAAUCAUUGCUAAUACCGCAUAUGCCAUGAACAUCACAUGAUGAAAAUGGGAAAAGAGUAAUCUGCUAGUAGAUGGGCUCGCGUCUGAUUAGAUAGUUGGCGGGGUAACGGCCUACCAAGUCGACGAUCAGUAGCCGGACUGAGAGGUUGAACGGCCACAUUGGGACUGAGAUACGGCCCAGACUCCUACGGGAGGCAGCAGUCGGGAAUAUUGCGCAAUGGAGGAAACUCUGACGCAGUGACGCCGCGUAUAGGAAGAAGGUUUUCGGAUUGUAAACUAUUGUCGUUAGGGAAGAUACAAGACAGUACCUAAGGAGGAAGCUCCGGCUAACUACGUGCCAGCAGCCGCGGUAAUACGUAGGGAGCAAGCGUUAUCCGGAUUUAUUGGGUGUAAAGGGUGCGUAGACGGGACAACAAGUUAGUUGUGAAAUCCCUCGGCUUAACUGAGGAACUGCAACUAAAACUAUUGUUCUUGAGUGUUGGAGAGGAAAGUGGAAUUCCUAGUGUAGCGGUGAAAUGCGUAGAUAUUAGGAGGAACACCGGUGGCGAAGGCGACUUUCUGGACAAUAACUGACGUUGA